rnacentral:misc_RNA from 1 species
CAACCAUCAAGCCCUAGGCUUGUGUUGGGGCACUGCGGCUGCCACAGGCCCCUAAAAGCAGUGGCGGACUCGCUGUCAUACCGAGCGCAGUAGCAUAUCUCGCUCAGGGCGUGGCGGCGGGCACCGGCCGUAAAACACCCAACUUCUGAAA